rfam:Glycine soja cultivar W05 scaffold527_40, whole genome shotgun sequence.
CAAAGACGGUGCUUACAUCAACAAUGUCUUUGAAAGUAGGCAUUCUAAGACGUUGCUAACGGAAGCACGGUCUUUGAAUGCCUACUUUCAAAGUCGGUGUUGAUGUAAGCACCGUCUUU